rnacentral:rRNA from 1 species
AAAGCCCGCAAGGGUAAGUAGAGUGGCAAACGGGUGAGUAACACGUAGGUGACCUGCCUCAGAGUGGGGGAUAACGACCCGAAAGGGUCGCUAAUACCGCAUAACAUCCCGCGUUUAGAGACGUGGAGAUCAAAGCCGGGGAUCGCAAGACCUGGCGCUCAGAGAGGGGCCUGCGGCCGAUUAGCUAGUUGGUGAGGUAACGGCUCACCAAGGCAACGAUCGGUAUCCGGCCUGAGAGGGCGGACGGACACACUGGGACUGAGACACGGCCCAGACUCCUACGGGAGGCAGCAGUGGGGAAUUGUUCGCAAUGGGCGCAAGCCUGACGACGCAACGCCGCGUGGAGGAUGAAGAUCUUCGGGUCGUAAACUCCUUUCGAUCGGGAAGAACGUUUUCCGGGUGAACAAUCCGGAGAAGUGACGGUACCGAGAGAAGAAGCCCCGGCUAACUCUGUGCCAGCAGCCGCGGUAAUACAGGGGGGGCAAGCGUUGUUCGGAAUUACUGGGCGUAAAGGGCCAGUAGGCGGCCAACUAAGUCACACGUGAAAUCCCCAGGCUUAACCUGGGAACUGCGUGUGAUACUGGAUGGCUUGAAUUCGGGAGAGGGAUGCAGAAUUCCAGGUGUAGCGGUGAAAUGCGUAGAUAUCUGGAGGAAUACCGGUGGCGAAGGCGGCAUCCUGGACCGACAUUGACGCUGAACGGCGAAAGCUAGGGGAGCAAACGGGAUUAGAUACCCCGGUAGUCCUAGCCCUAAACGAUGAAUGUUUGGUGUGGCGGGUAUCGAUCCCUGCCGUGCCGAAGCUAACGCAUUAAACAUUCCGCCUGGGGAGUACGGUCGCAAGGCUG